rnacentral:rRNA from 1 species
GACGAACGCUGGCGGCGUGCUUAACACAUGCAAGUCGAACGGAAAGGCCCUGCUUUUGUUGGGUUCUCGAUUGGCGAACGGGGGAGUAACACAUGAGUAACCUGCCCUUAUCUUUCGGGUAACUUCAGGGAACUGGGGCUAAUACCGGAUAUGAUCUCCUGCUCCAUGGUGGGGGUUGGAAAGUUUCGGCGGUUCGGGAUGGACUCGCGGCUUAUCAGCUGGUUGGUGUGGUAGUGGCUUACCAAGGCUUUGACGGGUAGCCGGCCUGAGAGGGUUACCGGCGUCAUGGGGACUGAGAUACGGCGCAGACGCCUACGGGACGCAGCAGUGGGGAAUAUUGCAGAAUGGGCGGAAGUCUGAUGCAGCAACGCCGGGUGCGGGAUGACGGCCUUCGGGUUGUAAACCGAUUUCGCAUGUGACGAAGCGUGAGUGACGGUAAUGGGUAAAGAAGCAACGGCUAACUACGUG